AUUGAACGCUGGCGGCAGGCUUAACACAUGCAAGUCGAGCGAGCGGCGGACGGGUGUGUAAUGUCUGGGAAACUGCCUGAUGGAGGGGGAUAACUACUGGAAACGUUAGCUAAUACCGCAUACCAUCAGUUGUGCCCAGAUGGGUUUGGCUGGUAGUUGGGGUAAUGGCUCACCUAGGCGACGAUCCCUAGCUGGUCUGAGAGGAGGACCAGCCACACGGGAACUGAGACACGGUCCAGACUCCUACGGGAGGCGGAAGUGGGGAAUAUUGCACAAUGGGGGAAAGCCUGAUGCAGCCAGGCCGCGGGUGUGAAGAAGGCCUUCGGGUUGUAAGGCACUUUCAGCGAGGAGGCGUUAAUCGAAGAAGAAGCACCGGCUAACUCCGUGCCAGCAGCCGCGGUAAUAC
rnacentral:rRNA from 1 species